UCGAACGCAUCUCUUCGGAGGUGAGUGGCAGACGGGUGAGUAACGCGUGGGAACGUACCCUUUGGUUCGGGAUAACCCGGGGAAACUCGGGCUAAUACCGGAUAAGCCCUCCGACUUGAUCGGAGGGGAAAGGUUUACUGCCGAAGGAUCGGCCCGCGUCGGAUUAGCUAGUUGGUGGGGUAACGGCCCACCAAGGCGACGAUCCGUAGCUGGUCUGAGAGGAUGAUCAGCCACACUGGGACUGAGACACGGCCCAGACUCCUACGGGAGGCAGCAGUGGGGAAUAUUGGACAAUGGGCGCAAGCCUGAUCCAGCCAUGCCGCGUGAGUGAAGAAGGCCCUAGGGUUGUAAAGCUCUUUCAGCGGGGACGAUAAUGACGGUACCCGCAGAAGAAGCCCCGGCUAACUUCGUGCCAGCAGCCGCGGUAAUACGAAGGGGGCUAGCGUUG
rnacentral:rRNA from 1 species